CCUACGGGGGGCUGCAGUAGGGAAUAUUGCGCAAUGGAGGAAACUCUGACGCAGCGACGCCGCGUGGGUGAUGAAGGUCUUCGGAUCGUAAAGCCCUGUUGCAGGGGAAUAAGAAAGUGAAUGUACUCUGCGAGAAAGGAUCGGCUAACUUCGUGCCAGCAGCCGCGGUAAGACGAGGGAUCCUAGCGUUGUUCGGAAUUAUUGGGCGUAAAGCGGGUGUAGGUGGCUCUAUAAGUCGGAUGUGAAAGCCUGGGGCUUAACUCCAGAAGUGCAUC
rnacentral:rRNA from 1 species